AUGGUCUUGUCACCCUAGGGUUUACAUGCAUCUUGAAAAAUUAAAGCAGGUAAUCCCAAAGUCACAUAGAGGUAGCCAAAGUGAGUUAUUUUUUCUACAGAGUGGCAGUGACUUUUAUUUAUAUCUCUCCAAGUUUCUUCUCAAGGUAAAAGAUGCAAUCAUUCUGAAGGAUACCAUUUCAGAGUCUACCAUAAUGGGACUCUCUGUGUCAUUUGUGGAUGGUCAGUGUAGCAGGACCAAGCAUACACCACCUAAGCCCCUGGACUGUCCCCUCGGUGGGAGCAUGCGUGUCUCCUUACUCACCAAAUGCUGUUUGCCACCAAGUAUUUCUCCUCUGCCAUGCCACAGGUAAUGAGGAAUCCACUUCCAGGCCGUUCUCCAUUACAUCUUCUUGAUAGUAAGCACCAAACUGCAGAUCGGAAGCACUUUCUGUAGACAGCUUCUGCAUGGCUGAGACCUGAAUGGAGAUAGUUAUUCAAGGCUAGGGAUUCAGGGUGUUGGAAUUCAGGCCAAGCCAGAGGACCUCACUGAGCUCUUUAGUUAUUCAUUUGAGAACCCAAAUGGGCCAUAACUUAGGAGCUAGAAACACAACCAAGAUGUAGAAACAUGCCCUAGAAUGAAGGCCAAAAAUGAAAUUUAUCAUUCCUUAAAAAAAAAUCUUCAUAUAAAUAAAUGAAACAAGUAUGAAAACACAUCCUGCCAUGUUACCACCACUUCACUGAUUUAGGAUUGGCAUUCCCUAGAGCUCUCCUUCAAGAUCUUGCAAACUGGGCACUAUUUCCCUCCAUCACUGUCUUACCAGGGUUGGUCAAUUCCGACUAUCAUUUUCCCCAUUGGGUUGGCAUGAGAAACAUAAGCAAAGCAGCAGGUGGUGCUGUCUGAUAUUUUGUUCUUACUGCCUUGUGCGUGUACAGAGGGGUCUCUGGUGUCCCUUUCCAUAUCUGAGUUCAAUAUUUUGGCCACAGAACUCAAAUUCAGUAACAUGCAGUUGUGGAAUAAACAAGGAAAUGAAUCACAAGAGCUUGGAUGAACACUGAGGUCUGGAGCCAAGUAACCCACAGAGUGCCCACAUUUAUAGGCAUGGUCAAUGUCGCUGCUGAUUUUAUUCGAGCUGGGGAAUGCUGGACUCAGGCUGCAACAGGGAAAGGCCAUUUCAAGGCAAAUGCAUGUUGCGCAACUUUAGCUGAGGCUGUUUGUAAGCCUGGGGUUGGUGAGCCUUGUGCAAAAAUACAUACUUUCCAACCAGGCCUAUAAUUCCUACCAAGAUUAGAUCCACCAGCCAGGGACACUUGCAAGAAUUUUAUGGCAGCCCCAGUUCUUAACAGUGCAGUAGACUUCUGGAAUGCCGGAGUGCGAACCUGAGCUGACAGAGAAAGAGAAAGGCAGCCUGGGAGGAAUCACGUCCUCCUCCUCCCCACUAGGCUUACUGUAUCUCUGCAUUUUGGAGGCACACAAACUCUUCCGCCCGGCUUCAUGUUUUAGGAACACCAGCACGCUUCUUUCCCCUAUCAAUGAAAUGUGCCACACAGCCGGGCACUCUGCACUGUCACAAUAUGGCAUCUGCCACAUAAACACCAGUUCAGUAUUGCCCCCUCCUCAUUCUGUCAUUUCAUUGGCAGAAGUGUCAUUAACUUUGCAGCGACAAUUAUUCGAGGACCAAGUAAACUGUGGAAAUUUGUAAACUCUUGCAUGGCUAAAUUAAAUGCUAUUUUAACCAACAGUUAAUAGUGUUUACUGCUGUGUAAUAGUAAUUUUCAUUUUUUACUGUAUCUAAUGACAUUCUGAUGACUGGAAUUCUCCAUAGGGAUACCAAAUCAUUACAUUAAGGAUGAGUGAUUUUAGUAUGCAAUGACUGAUCAGUACAAUAAUAUGUAGACUAAUGCUUGAGCUAGUAAAUUAAAUCAUUUGCACCACAGUGUUUGUCAACUAGAAUGGGGAUUCCAUUACGUUGUUAAAUUAUAAUGUAGAGCCUGCUUAAAGUAAAAUAACAAAUGAGCAUCUUAAAUUGGUAAUGCAUUGGUAGAAUACUUUCUCAAGAGGUAUGGAAAAGAGAGAAACACUCCUAAUCUGCUCAAACAGCUCAUCAAUUCCUUAUAGUAGGCGACCGUUGAACCGAAUUAUAGAGGAAACCUUGUAGACACUUUAAAGUGUGAGUGUAAGAGAUUUGCCUGUUGGAGGAGGAGAAAGGAAAUAGGACCUCAGGGAAGGUUUGGAUAAUCAACCAUAUAAGGAAUUGGAUUUUUGUCAGCAUGUGAGAUAUAAUGAAAAAACACAAUUGAAAGGAGAAAGAAAUAACUCUCUUCUAUCCUUCGUGGUGAUUGGCCACACGUGGGAGCACAAUCAAAGCGUAACAGCCACUGGGCGAGACCCCUGUUUCCAGGCCACAACCACGAACUCUCGUCCCUGGCCUGAAAGUCAUCAGGGCUUUCCUAACUCCAGACGAACUAGACUGCGCUUCAUAAACACGAGCUCUUUUUAAGUCAGCCUCUCUAAAGCUAAGGCUAGUUCAACAUCUGAGAUGUGAGAUCUAUCAAACUCCAGAGACUACAACACUCAAAAGAAAAAGUCAUCCAAGUUUUUAGACUUUCUUAGGUCUCAGUGGUUCUUAAUCAUCAGAUCAGGUUUUGGAAUUAAGAUUAGGGAAAGCUUUGGAGAAGAGAAUUGGUGGAGUAAAAUGCAGGAAGGAGAGAAGAAGGAAUCGUUAUCCUCUUUUUCCUAAAAUAGAGGUUUGAGGGCGGAGUGGGAAGGGGCGUAAACUUGACUCAAAAAAGCUCAGUGUCUUUUGAAGAGGAACCUUCAGGAACAAGGUCUACUCCAUUCGGUCCCAUUUAAAAUUAUUUUUGAGGAGCCAUUAUGAGUCAGGCAUGAUGACAGGUCCUGGGUUGAGGGAGAUAAAUACUCUGAGUGCAGUCUUUGAGAAGCAAGCCCACGAUAGAGUAAGACAAGCAAGGAAACCAAGAAUGACCACAGAGCCACAUUUUGUUUUAAUGCAAGUUGACGAAGUGACUCGCUGUUCUCCAAGUUUCAAGCAUUAGGGCCUUGACCUUGGUCGCUAUCACUGCCCAGAACACUCUCUUCCAGGAUACACACAUGGUUAAGUCUCUCAUCUCUGUCCUGUCUUUGUGAAAAUAUCACCCCAUCUAUAAGCCCUUCUACCAUCAUCCUAUUUAAAAAUUGCAACCCACACACUCUGGCCUUCUCCAUCCCCCUUACUCUGCUCUACAUUUUUUUCCAUCACUCAUUAUCUGCUGACAUACUUCACAUUUUUUCUUUUUUUUUUUUUUGUUGGGGAAGAUUAGCCCUGAGCUAACAUCUAUGCCCAUCUUCCUCUACUUUAUAUGUGGGACACCUGCCACAGCAUGGCUUGACAAGCAGUGCGUAGGUAUGCACCCUGACCGGAACUGGCGAACCCCAGGCCGCCAAAGUGGGGCGUGCGAACUUAACCCCUACGCCAUCCACUGGCCCUGAGUGUGCUCUAUUUUUAACACAUAGCUCAGCUCUGCAUCAGGUAAAAUUAGUAGGAUUUUGAAUUUCUUUUACUGUAACGUUCAUAGGAAAGUCAGUUCAUGAAAGAAAUAGUCACGAUUGGGCUGCACUUUUAUUCUCCCAAAAAGUGACAGCUCUGCUCUGUUGGAUAAGAAAGGAGGGUAUUGAAAAGUGAGGGAUAAAACAAACAAAAAAUUAUGGAUCGUUGAAGUUUAUUUUGUGGGCCUACGUGCUAAAAAUCUGUUUACAUACAUAUUGCUGCAUGGUGAUGGAAAUCAAUGCACCUUGAACUGAAUAUUAAAUGAUAUCCUUUUCAAAUACUACCCAGUAAAAAUGUGUGAAAAUAGAAAGUUUCUUGUUUCUCACUUUAUGUUCUUAGAUGAUGCUUCAAAAUAUCAAGAAAAGAUUCUUCUUUAAAAAAUCCAGGUAUGUUUUACUAUAAAAAUAUGCAUCGCAUUUUUAAAAGUCUCUUUUAUAAAUGCAAAAUUGCCAGGUGCAGGAUAACAUUUUAUUGAUACACUUAAAAUUUAGUUUAAUUUUAGAGUAAUUUAGGCUCAGUUUCAAUUAGUAUCACAAUUUUCAAAAUAUAGACCUAGUUUUCUCAAAACUGAUCCCAAACAUUUUCUUUACAUCUUCUGAUUCCACUGGCUAAAGUGUUAUGAGCAUCUGUCUAGAUUUGUUGGGCUCUUGAAAGUAAUUUCAUAACUACAUUUUCUCAGCUGUGAACUGUUUCCUGCUAAUGACAUCACAGCUCUAAUAUAUGACCUUCUAACUUUAACAGGCAAAUGAGGCCUUGGCUAGAUUACCUUAAGUAAAUAAAUAUGUGCAAAGAGAUCAUCUAGCAUUGUACUUCAUUUCAGUCCUUAACACAUGGACCCAAUGUUUUAAAAGGCCUUUGCCACAUGCCACCCUUGCAUAAUGGGUCAAAGAUGAUCAGAUUUGAUUUUGCGAAGGAAGUUAAAUGACAUUAUGGAAAGAAUUUUUAAAAUUCAAGCUGAGAUAUUUUAAAAAUUCAAGAUAUUUUCAGGGAUAUCUGAUCACCUGAAACAAGUUACUAAAAUACAUAAUUUUCAAAAAUUGAACUAAAUAGCUCUAUAGUGAACCAGGAGCGAUGGAUUUCAGAUAAGCCGUGUCUUGGUGCUUAGCAUGCAAAAAGCAGAUGAGAAGAGUAGAGCAUUUCCUUUGCCCCCUAUUUUCACUAAUUUGUGUUAUUGGGUGAUCAGAAAUCCUUGCUUAAGGGAUUAGCCACUGUUGUACUGUUUUAUUCCAGUGUUCCAAGAAUUCCUUUGGAGAUUAAAAACAAAUCCUUGGAAAAAGGAUCCAAUUUUUUUAGUCCAAAAUUACUUCUCGGGACACCAGUGCAAAACAUCAGAAAUGAGCUAAUCCCUUAAGAAAGGGAUAUUUGAUAACUCAAUAGCACAAAUUAAUUGUGAGAAUGCUCAGGGAAUCAAAAUGCAUUAUAAUUAAUUUAAUUCUUAAGAAAUACAUUGAAUAAUGUAGUUAAUCCCCAUAAAUGUAACCUAGUGGAGGGAAGGUGGGAGUUGGCGUUCUCGCCCUUCUUUGACUUUCUAAGCCAAUAAUCAGCCUGAAGUUGGGGAAGCAAAGUUUACCUCUGCAGCUCACCAGUCCACACAUUUCUGUGUAAAAGACUGUAUAAGUGUGUAAACUAUACUGCAAAAAAACAAAUGUCAUUUUCGGUGUGGAAAUAGAUAGAAACAGGUAUGAACUGAUGACUCCUACUAUCCAAUUUAGUGAUCUCUCCUGCAGGAAAGUGAGUGUGUUCUUCUGAUAAAGGAGUCACAUCAUAGGGAAAGGAACCUGUAUGGGGAACACAUUUAAAGCUGAAUGCAUAUAUUAUCUUUCAUGGACUUAAUGACUCAUUUUGUUUUUUUCCCCAAGAGGUCCAGAGUUACAAAAGCAUUACAUUUUAAGUUGCGAAUUCCUCAUUACAGAAAUGUUUUAUGUACUGCUGCAUUCAAAUUAAGCUUCUCUGGUGAUAUCAAAAGAAAAUUUCAGUUAUCAUGUCUAGUUUAUGGCCUACUUGGCAUGCUUCAGUGAGAGAUAUUUAGCAAAUAAGAUUGGUAGUUUGUCAGCUAUCUUAAAUAAUAUCUUAGCUACUUAUGCCAUGCAGCUUCUUUUCAAACAAAGACUGUCAAUGUUCUCAAGGCGUUUUUAGUGAAAUCAUUCGCAGUCCAAAGUUAAGUGUCCAGCAGUCUAGACAGGGGCUGCAGGUGAGAUAUUGCUCCUCCACUAAAAUUAAGUACGGACAACCAAACCAUAAAACCAAAUAUUCAUCUGGCCAACAGCUGAGUAUUCCAGGUAAGUAACUUCAGAGGGUACGGCCACUCUUAUGGUUUUUCCAUCUAAUGGCAACCUCAAAAGGAGCAUGCAGCACCAUUGCAUGUGGUGCAAUCUACAUACCAGCUCAGACUUGCUUUCUUCUGGGGUAGUUACAACCAAGGGCUGGCUGGGGAAGGCAAAGCCCUACUUACCCAUCUUGUUCCCACCUCUGUGUGACGUCAUGCGACUAAAUUGAGGUCGUUGUCCCUUCAUUUGUCCUCCGAUGAACAGUUACUCUUCAUUUAGUACAAGUGUCCUGAAUGCCCACCCUGUACCGAGUUACACAAAUAUGUAACUCGAGGUCCUGUCCUAAUUCCAGAGGAAGUGACCAUCAAGUUGAGGGAGCAACAGUGAAUCACAGGGGGUUAGAAAACAAUACAGAUUAAAAUAACCACAAAAGCAACUACACGUGGCACCCAAGUAAGCGGACCACUAAAUGAUGGCUGAGUGGUCAGACAAGAAGCUUUUAUGGAGGAGGAGACCUGGAGGUGGGCAGGACCGAGGCAGGCAGAAGGGAGGAAGAACUAUUCUUACACUUCCAUAUUUGUGUGCCCAUGCGCUACUCAUAUGCAAAAGGAAGGUGCUGGAUUAAGCAUUCUUGUUGCUUUCCCACAUCUCCUAUCAUUGUUCACCUUUUUGUUUUCUCAAAAGCAAGGGAGAAGAUAAAGAUGGCAUGGUUAAAGGCUGGAACGGAAAGGAGACCAACAGGGCUCCAGCCCAGAACAGCAACUGUGGAAAAGAAUCGAGCCUGAGGUGGGUUCCUACCGGCAGCAGGAAGGGAACUAGAGCAAAGGUAAGUGAAAGUUCAGACAGUGGCCUGUCCCUUUGCUCGUCACCGCCUCCCCAGGAGCGUCCCCCCAGGCAGAGCGGUAGACCAGCAGACUGGCACAACACCCACCAAGACUCACUUUUUGCUCUCCGAGGAAGGAGGGCAUGAUGGACUUGUCCCCUGAGUGCUGCUCUGUAGCGGGUCCUGAUCCAGGUGCGGAGCGUGGGUGCUGCCACCCCAGGAAUCCUACCUGUUUUUAGCUUGAUGCUCAGUCUGCACUCACUGUUGACGCUGUGUGGGGGACGUGGCUUCCGGAUCCAGGAACACGGCCCCACUACAAGGAACGUCCUCAGGACAGGACGGGAGAGGUCCUAAUAACAGUCUUCCCCCUAACAACGCCCUCCUGAUUUAAAUAAAAUCUCACAUUUUGCUUUUAGAGUGUGUAAUAUUAUAUUCCCUUUAUGAUAAAAGAGGAAAUCUGGAAUAACGCAAAAAUAAUGCCCGACGAACGCCUCCACCGGGGAAUUUCUGAACAAUAAUCCCAAAACCAUAGAGGUGUGUCAAUGGGUUUUUAGUGACACUACAUAUCGUAAGUGACCCCGUCUCCCAAAUACAGUCAAUUUUAUCCAGCCACAAAAGAUUCACAAGUGCUGCCUUCCUCCUUUCUCUUCUAAGACCCAUUUCAUACCUUUCCUCUCUGUGCACAGAAAUCUUCUGUAGAAAAGCGGUUUCAAGUAGAAACAUUUUAUUCAACACAUUUUAAAUUCCAAGGAGCCUCCUGGGCAUUUUAAUAAGUAACGUUUAUUACACAAAUCCGACUGUAAGCUUCUAGCAGACCAAAAAUAGGUGUUUGUAUUAUUUUCCAUAUUAUAUUUAGUAGUGUCAUGUAAUAAAGUUCUUACUAAAUAAUGACUGUGUUAACAGGCCCGUGCUAUUAUCUCAUGCCUCCUAGGUUUGGUAGUCGGUUUAUUUUCCUCUAAUGGCAUACAGCUCUGGUUUACACAUAAGUUUUACAAAUUUCGCUUUGAUUUCAGAAGUGUGUUUUUUUAAGAAUAAAUUAAAUAGCUGUGGUCCAUUAAGAAAAAAAUUCUCCCUUUGUGUGUGUGUGUGUGUGUGUGU
rnacentral:lncRNA from 1 species